AGCAGGGACAAUACAGGAAAGAUCACCGCACACCAUCAACAUUUGACUCUUUAAUCGGGACAGUCGAGCUGAAGGAAGGAGAAUUUUAAAACAACAUCUGAUGCAAAUGUCAGUUUAAAAAAAAAUCACCACAGGAUAGAGACCUUGUGAAGUAAUUUCCAAGUCAUGUUAUGCAAUAUUCUGUAAACAAGUGAAUCUGUGAGAUAGACAUCGUAGGAGAAGUUGUGUGAUUGAAGGGCUUCAUGUUGCAUUACAGAAUGGAAAGCUGUGUUAUUUCACCUGUAAGUAUGAGAGGUGGUCUGCAGUUCCAGUUAUCAGAAGAAAUAAUUCCGUAUGAUCAUGGCGGUCGACCGACAUACGACUUCUACCAAUAUCUCAGUACUGACCCCGAAACUCAUCCAGAGACUGGAUGGGACUACACAAGUGUUCAUGUCCAACACAGUGAAUUUGAGGCUCCGCA